CACUUCUAAUUUUAGUUCUCUUGCUGUUUCCACAUCUGCAGUUACUUCCUCUACUGAAGUCUUGAAUUGCUAAAAGAUUCUGAUUACUUUUAAGAAAAAGAAGCUUUUAAAUCCAUGAGGAUUGGAAUCAACUUCUUUCAAACUUUCAUUUAAUGUUGAUAUUUUGACCUCCUCUAUGAAUCCUGAAUGUUCUUAAUGGUAUCUAAAAUGGUGAAUCCCUUCCAGAAGGUUUUCAAUUUACUUUGCCCAGGUCCAUCAGAGGAAUCAUAUAUAUGAC
rnacentral:lncRNA from 1 species